GACGAACGCUGGCGGCGUGCUUAACACAUGCAAGUCGAACGGAAAGGCCCUGCUUUUGUGGGGUGCUCGAUUGGCGAACGGGUGAGUAACACGUGAGUAACCUGCCCUUGUCUUUGGGAUAACUUCAGGAAACUGGGGCUAAUACCGGAUAGGAGCUCCUGCUGCAUGGUGGGGGUUGGAAAGUUUCGGCGGUUGGGGAUGGACUCGCGGCUUAUCAGCUUGUUGGUGGGGUAGUGGCUUACCAAGGCUUUGACGGGUAGCCGGCCUGAGAGGGUGACCGGCCACAUUGGGACUGAGAUACGGCCCAGACUCCUACGGGAGGCAGCAGUCGGGAAUAUUGCACAAUGGGCGGAAGCCUGAUGCAGCAACGCCGCGUGCGGGAUGACGGCCUUCGGGUUGUAAACCGCUUUCGCCUGUGACGAAGCGUGAGUGACGGUAAUGGGUAAAGAAGCACCGGCUAACUACGUG
rnacentral:rRNA from 1 species